rnacentral:lncRNA from 1 species
AUAUAGUAUAUAUCUAACUAUAUAUCACGGAUGUCGCUAUAAGCCUUGCGUGUUCAUGUCGCACGCGCAUGUAUCUGUAUCGUAAUUGUGUCCAAUACGGACGAACCAUCGACUCGCAUCGACGGUGCAUCCCAUUAUAUAUAUAUAGUCCGGCUACUAUUCUCUUAAGAGGAUAGAAGCCUUUGUCCUAUCAAGUCAUUUUAGAUGAUUGAGACUUCAAAUUACUAAUCGAUACGGUUGAUAUUGAUCUACACUAUUAGAAAUAUUUAGAAACUGGAUUUUUUUUAAUUUUUAAAAAUCAUUAUCAAGUCCAUCGAAGAGUCGAAAAAUGAAUGGUAAAAAACAAAUGACUUUCUGAAAACAGAGGUUAGACUUUCUCAAUUUACGAUCAGAGUUAUUAAACAUUAUCUAAAUAGUAUAAAGAAUUUUUUAUCAAAAAAUCAACCGGUUUGGAUUACUCUACACCGUUAAACAAGCAAACGGCUCAUAUAGACCGUCAAAAAAAUGUCAAUUUUGCAAUUCUUUGAUCACUAUGUAAAUAAUUUUUAAAAUUUAUAAAAUUUAGUUUCUAAAUAAUUCAAAUACUCUAGAUCAAUUUCAACAUUUUCGAUUAUCAAUUUAGGAUCUCUAUCAUCAAAAAUGAUUUGAUAGAGGGAUGUACGGUUGGGAUGAUGUGAGACUCCUAGGGUUGAGUAGAUGGUUGGUUGAAUAGUAUGACCUAACGGAUGAAAAUGAUCAAAGGGGUAGAUUUAACAGUAAAAAAUUUACAAACACCAAGUGUUUGGUGCUUUUACAAGCACCAUAGUU